rnacentral:sRNA from 1 species
GCUGCUUCUCCGUGAAGGAUGAGUCGGGGAGGGGCUCGCAGGCCAGGAGGACAGUGCCUGAGCCCCUGGUCUCUGCCUCCAGUUCUGCAGGAAUUCUCCAAGGAGGAGCGAGACCCAGUGAAAACUCAUGAAGGCUGGGGGGUGAUGUUGCCCUGUAACCCACCUGCCCACUACCCAGGCUUGUCCUACCGCUGGCUCCUCAACGAGUUCCCCAACUUCAUCCCGACGGACGGGCGUCACUUCGUGUCCCAGACCACAGGGAACCUGUACAUUGCCCGAACCAAUGCCUCAGACCUGGGCAACUACUCCUGUUUGGCCACCAGCCACAUGGACUUCUCCACCAAGAGCGUCUUCAGCAAGUUUGCUCAGCUCAACCUGGCUGCUGAAGAUACCCGGCUCUUUGCACCCAGCAUCAAGGCCCGGUUCCCAGCAGAGACCUAUGCACUGGUGGGGCAGCAGGUCACCCUGGAGUGCUUCGCCUUUGGGAACCCUGUCCCCCGGAUCAAGUGGCGCAAAGUGGACGGCUCCCUGUCCCCGCAGUGGACCACAGCUGAGCCCACUCUGCAGAUCCCCAGCGUCAGCUUUGAGGAUGAGGGCACCUACGAGUGUGAGGCGGAGAACUCCAAGGGCCGAGACACCGUGCAGGGCCGCAUCAUCGUGCAGGCUCAGCCUGAGUGGCUAAAAGUGAUCUCGGACACAGAGGCUGACAUUGGCUCCAACCUGCGUUGGGGCUGUGCAGCCGCCGGCAAGCCCCGGCCUACAGUGCGCUGGCUGCGGAACGGGGAGCCUCUGGCCUCCCAGAACCGGGUGGAGGUGUUGGCCGGGGACCUGCGGUUCUCCAAGCUGAGCCUGGAGGACUCGGGCAUGUACCAGUGUGUGGCAGAGAAUAAGCAUGGUACCAUCUACGCCAGCGCCGAGCUAGCCGUGCAAGCACUCGCCCCUGACUUCAGGCUGAAUCCCGUGAGGCGUCUGAUCCCCGCGGCCCGCGGGGGAGAGAUCGUUAUCCCCUGCCAGCCCCGGGCAGCUCCAAAGGCCGUGGUGCUCUGGAGCAAAGGCACGGAGAUUUUGGUCAACAGCAGCAGAGUGACUGUAACUCCAGAUGGCACCUUGAUCAUAAGAAACAUCAGCCGGUCAGAUGAAGGCAAAUACACCUGCUUUGCUGAGAACUUCAUGGGCAAAGCCAACAGCACUGGAAUCCUAUCUGUGCGAGAUGCAACCAAAAUCACUCUAGCCCCCUCAAGUGCCGACAUCAACUUGGGUGACAACCUGACCCUACAGUGCCAUGCCUCCCACGACCCCACCAUGGACCUCACCUUCACCUGGACCCUGGACGACUUCCCCAUCGACUUUGAUAAGCCUGGAGGGCACUACCGGAGAACUAAUGUGAAGGAGACCAUUGGGGAUCUGACCAUCCUGAAUGCCCAGCUGCGCCAUGGGGGGAAGUACACAUGCAUGGCCCAGACGGUGGUGGACAGCGCGUCCAAGGAGGCCACAGUCCUGGUCCGAGGUCCGCCAGGUCCCCCAGGAGGUGUGGUGGUGAGGGACAUUGGCGACACCACCAUCCAGCUCAGCUGGAGCCGUGGCUUCGACAACCACAGCCCCAUCGCUAAGUACACCCUGCAAGCUCGCACUCCACCUGCAGGGAAGUGGAAGCAGGUUCGGACCAAUCCUGCAAACAUCGAGGGCAAUGCCGAGACUGCACAGGUGCUGGGCCUCACCCCCUGGAUGGACUAUGAGUUCCGGGUCAUAGCCAGCAACAUUCUGGGCACUGGGGAGCCUAGUGGGCCCUCCAGCAAAAUCCGGACCAGGGAAGCAGCCCCCUCGGUGGCACCCUCAGGACUCAGCGGAGGAGGUGGAGCCCCCGGAGAGCUCAUCGUCAACUGGACGCCCAUGUCACGGGAGUACCAGAACGGAGACGGCUUCGGCUACCUGCUGUCCUUCCGCAGGCAGGGCAGCACUCACUGGCAGACCGCCCGGGUGCCUGGCGCCGAUGCCCAGUACUUUGUCUACAGCAACGAGAGCGUCCGGCCCUACACGCCCUUUGAGGUCAAGAUCCGCAGCUACAACCGCCGCGGGGAUGGGCCCGAGAGCCUCACUGCACUCGUGUACUCAGCUGAGGAAGAGCCCAGGGUGGCCCCUACCAAGGUGUGGGCCAAAGGGGUCUCAUCCUCAGAGAUGAACGUGACCUGGGAACCCGUGCAGCAGGACAUGAAUGGUAUCCUCCUGGGGUAUGAGAUCCGCUACUGGAAAGCUGGGGACAAAGAAGCAGCUGCGGACCGAGUGAGGACAGCAGGGCUGGACACCAGUGCCCGAGUCAGCGGCCUGCAUCCCAACACCAAGUACCAUGUGACCGUGAGGGCCUACAACCGGGCUGGCACUGGGCCUGCCAGCCCUUCUGCCAACGCCACGACCAUGAAGCCCCCUCCGCGGCGACCUCCUGGCAACAUCUCCUGGACUUUCUCAAGCUCCAGUCUUAGCAUUAAGUGGGACCCUGUGGUCCCUUUCCGAAAUGAGUCUGCAGUCACCGGCUAUAAGAUGCUGUACCAGAAUGACUUACACCUGACUCCCACGCUCCACCUCACCGGCAAGAACUGGAUAGAAAUCCCAGUGCCUGAAGACAUUGGCCAUGCCCUGGUACAAAUUCGGACCACAGGGCCCGGAGGGGAUGGGAUCCCUGCAGAAGUCCACAUCGUGAGGAAUGGAGAGAUGGAAUUCUGGGACCCUAUACGGACUCCGCCACUUGAGAGCAGUCCUAGGCCCGGCAGGAACACCAGACAUGAACAGGUUGAAGAACUGGAGCGAAGUGCACACCUCACCAUCUUUCAGUCUAAGGAAGAAGGGCAAGCCCUGGGACCAAGAACUCUCCUGCCUUCUCCCUUGAGCAGCAGCAAGGACCCUGACGCUGUCCCCGAUAACUCCCUAGGGGCUCCUGCCUGCCCAAGCGGCUGAGAACCAGCGCCCCGAUGCCUGAGGCUGGGAGCCUGAGCCCCUUCAGCUUUGAGGGGGGUGAUACUCCAGGCUGUUUGGGGUGGGAGCCAAAAAAAGUUGAGAGGCCAGGGCCCUUGGUGGAAAGGGGCACCAGCCUUGGUCUGAGAUAGUCACAACCCAGGUGACGAUGCCCUCUCAGCCAACACUGCCAACCUGACCCUGUCAUCCCGAUUGACAGCGCCACUUCAGGUGGCUGGGUGACUAAAGGGCUUGUCUUGGUGGGGUCUCCCACCCCUCCAAGACCCAUUCUGCACAGUCCCUCCAGGGUUUGGGCAGGAGAUGGCCAAUCAUGCGCCCACCUCUCCCUCCAGUGCUGCCUGCAGUCAGCUCGGCCUCCCCGACCUGCAGCCCCAGACUCUGCUCUCCCAGCACUGACUCACUCCUGCCUGGGAGGGGAAUGCAGCAUUCAUGCUGUGUGUCCUGGUAUUGGGAGGUUUCUGGGAAGGGCAGAGGAUAAAUGUGGCCCUGCCUGCUCCCAGGUAUACCUAGGACCACCUGGCCAGAUCCGCUCCCAGAC